UUCCGGUUGAUCCUGCCGGCGGGCACCGCUAUCGGUAUGCGAUUAAGGCAUGCGAGUCGGUAAAGCCAUGAUGGGCGCACGGCUGAGUAACACGCGGAUAAUCUGCCCUGAAGUGGGGGAUAACCUCGGAAAACUGAGAAUAAUACCCCAUAGGUCUGGAAUGCUGGAAUGCUUCCAGGUUGAAAGGAUUAGGUGCUUCAGGAUGAGUCUGCGGCCUAUCAGGUUGUAGUGGGUGUAACGGACCCACUAGCCCACGACGGGUAGGGGCGUUGAGAGACGGAGCCCCCAGAUGGAUUCUGAGACACGAAUCCAGGCCCUACGGGGCGCAGCAGCUACGAAAACUGCACAAUGUGGGAAACCACGAUGCGGGCAUUCCGAGUGCUAACGCAUUAGGUUGGCUGUUCUUUCGCCUAAAAAGCGAGAGAAGUAAGGGCCGGGUAAGAUCGGGUGCCAGCCGCCGCGGUAAUACCCGCGGCCCGAGUGGUGCUCAAUAUUAUUGAGCUUAAAGCGUCCGUAGCCAGCCCUGUAAAUCCUUGGGUAAAUCGGGCAGCUCAACUGUUCGAAUUCCGAGGAGACUGCAGGGCUCGGGACCGGGAGAGGUUAGAGGUACUCUUGGGGUAGGGGUAAAAUCCUGUAAUCCUGAGAGGACCACCAGUGGCGAAGGCGUCUAACUGGAACGGAUCCGACGGUGAGGAACGAAGCCCUGGGGCGCAAACGGGAUUAGAUACCCCGGUAGUCCAGGGUGUAAACGCUGCGGGCUUGGUGUCGGGGGUCCUACGGGGGCGCCCGGUGCCGGAGAGAAAUUGUUAAGCCUGCCGCUUGGGGAGUACGGUCGCAAGACUGAAACUUAAAGGAAUUGGCGGGGGAGCACCGCAACGGGAGGAGCGUGCGGUUCAAUUGGAGUCAACGCCGGA
rnacentral:rRNA from 1 species